rnacentral:rRNA from 1 species
ACUCAAAUGAAUAGACGGGGCCCCGCACAAGCAGCGGAGCGUGUGGAUUAAUUCGAUGCAACGCGAAGAACCUCACCUGGGUUUGACAUGCGCGUGGUACCGACCGGAGACGGGAGGGACCCGCAAGGGAGCGCGCACAGGUGCUGCAUGGCUGUCGUCAGCUCGUGCCGUGAGGUGUUGGGUUAAGUCCCGCAACGAGCGCAACCCCCGUCCCUAGUUGCCGUCUCUAGGGAGACUGCCGGGCGAACCCCGGAGGAGGGUGGGGAUGACGUCAAGUCCGCAUGGCCCCUACGCCCAGGGCCUCACACACGCUACAAUCGCCGGGACAGCGGGCCGCGACCGCGCGAGCGGGAGCCAACCCCCCAAAGCCGGCGCCAGUCCGGAUCGCAGGCUGCAACCCGCCUGCGUGAAGCCGGAGUUGCUAGUAACCGCGCGUCAGCACAGUGCGGUGAAUGCGUUCCCGGGGCUUGCACACACCGCCCGU